GAUGAACGCUGGCGGCGUGCCUAAUACAUGCAAGUCGAACGCACAGCGAAAGGUGCUUGCACCUUUCAAGUGAGUGGCGAACGGGUGAGUAACACGUGGACAACCUGCCUCAAGGCUGGGGAUAACAUUUGGAAACAGAAGCUAAUACCGAAUAAAACUCAGUGUCGCAUGACACAAAGUUAAAAGGCGCUUUGGCGUCACCUAGAGAUGGAUCCGCGGUGCAUUAGUUAGUUGGUGGGGUAAAGGCCUACCAAGACAAUGAUGCAUAGCCGAGUUGAGGAGCGAGUCGGCCACAUUGGGACUGAGACACGGCCCAAACUCCUACGGGAGGCUGCAGUAGGGAAUCUUCCACAAUGGGCGAAAGCCUGAUGGAGCAACGCCGCGUGUGUGAUGAAGGCUUUCGGGUCGUAAAGCACUGUUGUAUGGGAAGAACAGCUAGAAUAGGGAAUGAUUUUAGUUUGACGGUACCAUACCAGAAAGGGACGGCUAAAUACGUGCCAGCAGCCGCCGUAA
rnacentral:rRNA from 1 species